rnacentral:rRNA from 1 species
AACGAACGCUGGCGGCAGGCUUAACACAUGCAAGUCGAACGCAUGCCUUCGGGCAUGAGUGGCAGACGGGUGAGUAACGCGUGGGAACCUACCCCUUGGUACGGGAUAGCUCCGGGAAACUGGAGAUAAUACCGUAUGUGUCCUGAGGGACAAAGAUUCAUCGCUAAGGGAUGGGCCCGCGUCGGAUUAGCUAGUUGGUGGGGUAACGGCCUACCAAGGCGACGAUCCGUAGCUGGUCUAAGAGGAUGAUCAGCCACAUUGGGACUGAGACACGGCCCAAACUCCUACGGGAGGCAGCAGUGGGGAAUAUUGGACAAUGGGCGCAAGCCUGAUCCAGCCAUGCCGCGUGAGUGAUGAAGGCCCUAGGGUUGUAAAGCUCUUUCACCGGUGACGAUAAUGACGGUAACCGGAGAAGAAGCCCCGGCUAACUUCGUG